CUAUCCUCCUACCUCAGCCUCCCAAGUAGCUGGGACUAUAGACGGAGUCUCUCUCUGUCGCCCAGGGUAGAGUGCAGUGGUGCAAUCCUGGCUCACUGCAACCUCUGCCUCCCAGGUUCAAGUGAUUCUCCUGCCUCAGCUUCCCAAGUAGCUGGGACUACAGGCGUGUGCCACCACGACCAGGAUCUUUCUGCUGAUGCAGCUGUUAAGAGUGUUUCAUAAACUGUGACAACACUAAGACUUGAAGAAGCUGAGUGAGAAGGCCAUGCAGAUAUCUUGGAGAAGUGCAUUCCAGGCAGAGGAAAAGCCAGUGCAGAGACACUGAAGCAGGGCAUGACUGAUGUGUAUAAGGAGCAUCAUAUACAUGAUCAUCUACAGUCCACUGAGGAGAAUAGCAGACGAGAGGCCAGGUGCAGUGCAUGUAAUCCCAGCACUUUGGGAGACUGAGAUGGGAAGAUCGCUUGAGGCCAGGAGUGCAAGACCAGCCUGGGCAACACAGCAAGACCUUGAUUCUACUAAAAAAAAAAAAGGAUCCUUCAACUUCAACAAUAAUAACACAAGGGAAGUGAAGAAAAACACUUUCUAAGGAAAUCUCUCUCUGAGCUACCAUCCUGCUAGGGAGAGCCUGAAAGCAGAAUGCUGACUUGACUAGCUCUGGUCAAUGAAAGAAAUCACCAGUGGAAAGGCUACCAGGGGGCUUUCUCAAAAGAGAGGGACAGU
rnacentral:lncRNA from 10 species